rnacentral:tRNA from 1 species
GCCCGAGUUGUCUAAUGGUUAUGACGUCGCUUUCCGGUGCCGCAUCUGCAGGCGGAGGUUGCGGGUUCGAAUCCCGUCUCGGGUU